rnacentral:rRNA from 1 species
GACGAACGCUGGCGGCGUGCCUAAUACAUGCAAGUCGAGCGGACGGAUGGGAGCUUGCUCCCAGACCGUCAGCGGCGGACGGGUGAGUAACACGUGGGCAACCUGCCUGUAAGACUGGGAUAACUCCGGGAAACCGGGGCUAAUACCGGAUAACUCUUUCCCUCACAUGAGGGAAAGCUGAAAGAUGGCAUCUCGCUAUCACUUACAGAUGGGCCCGCGGCGCAUUAGCUAGUUGGUGGGGUAACGGCUCACCAAGGCGGCGAUGCGUAGCCGACCUGAGGGGGUGAUAGGCCACCCGAGGACUGAGACACGGCCCAGACUCCUACGGGAGGCCGCAGUAGGGAAUCGUCCGCAAUGGACGAAAGUCUGACAGAGCAACGCCGCGUGAGUGAUGAAGGUUUUCGGAUCGUAAAACUCUGUUGUCAGGGAAGAACAAGUACCGGAGUAACUGCCGGUACCUUGACGGUACCUGACCAGAAAGCCACGGCUAACUACGUG